AUUGAACGCUGGCGGCAGGCCUAACACAUGCAAGUCGAACGGUAACAGAAAGCAGCUUGCUGCUUUGCUGAGGAGUGGCGGACGGGUGAGUAAUGUCUGGGAAACUGCCUGAUGGAGGGGGAUAACUACUGGAAACGGUAGCUAAUACCGCAUAACGUCGCAAGACCAAAGAGGGGGACCUUCGGGCCUCUUGCCAUCGGAUGUGCCCAGAUGGGAUUAGCUUGUUGGUGGGGUAACGGCUCACCAAGGCGACGAUCCCUAGCUGGUCUGAGAGGAUGACCAGCCACACUGGAACUGAGACACGGUCCAGACUCCUACGGGAGGCAGCAGUGGGGAAUAUUGCACAAUGGGCGCAAGCCUGAUGCAGCCAUGCCGCGUGUAUGAAGAAGGCCUUCGGGUUGUAAAGUACUUUCAGCGGGGAGGAAGGGAGUAAAGUUAAUACCUUUGCUCAUUGACGUUACCCGCAGAAGAAGCACCGGCUAACUCCGUG
rnacentral:rRNA from 1 species